rnacentral:rRNA from 1 species
GACGAACGCUGGCGGCGUGCCUAAUACAUGCCAGUAGAACGCACAGUUUAUACCGUAGCUUGCUACACCAUAGACUGUGAGUUGCGAACGGGUGAGUAACGCGUAGGUAACCUGCCUGGUAGCGGGGGAUAACUAUUGGAAACGAUAGCUAAUACCGCAUAAUAUUAAUUAUUGCAUGAUAAUUAAUUGAAAGGUGCAAUUGCACCACUACCAGAUGGACCUGCGUUGUAUUAGCUAGUAGGUGAGGUAACGGCUCACCUAGGCGACGAUACAUAGCCGACCUGAGAGGGUGAUCGGCCACACUGGGACUGAGACACGGCCCAGACUCCUACGGGAGGCAGCAGUAGGGAAUCUUCGGCAAUGGACGAAAGUCUGACCGAGCAACGCCGCGUGAGUGAAGAAGGUUUUCGGAUCGUAAAGCUCUGUUGUAAGAGAAGAACGGGUGUGAGAGUGGAAAGUUCACACUGUGACGGUAGCUUACCAGAAAGGGACGGCUAACUACGUG